AUUGAACGCUGGCGGCAUGCCUUACACAUGCAAGUCGAACGGUAACAGGUCUUCGGAUGCUGACGAGUGGCGAACGGGUGAGUAAUGCAUCGGAACGUGCCCAGGAGUGGGGGAUAGCCCGGCGAAAGCCGGAUUAAUACCGCAUACGACCUGAGGGUGAAAGGGGGGGAUCGCAAGACCUUACGCUAUUGGAGCGGCCAAUGUCAGAUUAGCUAGGUGGUGGGGUAAAGGACUACCAAGGCAACGAUCUGUAGUUGGUCUGAGAGGACGACCGGCCAAACUGGGACUGAGACUCGGCGCAGACUCCUACGGGAGGCAGCAGUGGGGAAUUUUGGACAAUGGACGCAAGCCUGAUCCAGCAAUGCCGCGUGCAGGAAGAAGGCCUUCGGGUUGUAAACUGCUUUUGUCAGGGAAUAAAUCUUCUGGGUUAAUACCUCGGGAGGAUGACGGUACCUGAAGAAUAAGCACCGGCUAACUACGUGCCAGCCGCCGCCGUAAAAC
rnacentral:rRNA from 1 species